UUGUUUUCGUAGUCUUAUGUAUCGUAGCCAUAUGUUAAGCUACGAUAUAUUCUGUUACUUUCUACUCUUAGUAUCUUCGAAACAAGUCAACAAGAAUAACGUUACCAUAGGACUGUUUCCUUUACCUUGCGAGGUGUUUGAGUUUGAUCCCAAGAUAAAACUUUCGAGUCCAGUCAGGUUAGCUAAUCCACAAUAGGCUAAUCCACAACAUAAAAUCAUAUAUAAAUUUGGUCAGAUGGCGCUUCUUACAUUCUAUGAUAUUUACAACUUGGACGCACAUUUCGUCGCACACCUAUGCAGUAGAUCUGCUUGAGGAUAGGAUUGCUAUGAAAUCGAGUGGUAUCGAAUGUCUCUCAGGAAAACGAUUGAGAUGACUAUGUCAAACACGAUAUGUCAUCACCCCGCCUCCCUCAGUGACAGAGAAUAACAACGAUGAGCAUAUUCUCU